rnacentral:rRNA from 1 species
UACGAAGGGGGCUAGCGUUGCUCGGAAUCACUGGGCGUAAAGGGCGCGUAGGCGGCCUGCUCAGUCGGACGUGAAAUCCCUCGGCUCAACCGAGGAACUGCGUCCGAUACUGGUGGGCUUGAAUCCGGGAGAGGGAUGUGGAAUUCCAGGUGUAGCGGUGAAAUGCGUAGAUAUCUGGAGGAACACCGGUGGCGAAGGCGGCAUCCUGGACCGGUAUUGACGCUGAGGCGCGAAAGCUAGGGGAGCAAACGGG